CGCUGGCGGCGUGCCUAACACAUGCAAGUCGAACGAGAAAGUGGAGCAAUCCAUGAGUAAAGUGGCGACCGGGUGAGUAACACGUGACUAACCUGCCUUCGAGUGGGGGAUAACCUCGGGAAAGCGGGGCUAAUACCGCAUAAUGCCUUCGGGUUAAAGAAGCAAUUCGCUUGAAGAGGGGGUCGCGGCUGAUUAGCUAGUUGGUGAGGUAACGGCUCACCAAGGCGAUGAUCGGUAGCCGGCCUGAGAGGGCGCACGGCCGCACUGGAACUGAAACACGGUCCAGACUCCUACGGGAGGCAGCAGUGGGGAAUUUUGCGCAAUGGGGGAAACCCUGACGCAGCAACGCCGCGUGGAGGAUGAAGUCCCUUGGGACGUAAACUCCUUUCGAGCGGGACGAUGAUGACGGUACCGGUGGAAGAAGCCCCGGCUAACUUCGUGCCAGCAGCCGCGGUAAUACGAGGGGGGCAAGCGUUGUUCGGAAUUAUUGGGCGUAAAGGGCGCGUAUGCGGUGCGGUAAGUCACCUGUGAAACCUCUGGGCUUAACUCAGAGCCUGCAGGCGAAACUGCCGUGCUCGAGUGUGGGAGAGGUGCGUGGAAUUCCCGGUGUAGCGGUGAAAUGC
rnacentral:rRNA from 1 species